UUCUUUAUCCUGUAUUACAGAAAUUGACGAUGCCGAUGUCAAUACUUAUUUACAUAUUUAUUUCUUAAACAGUGACACGUAUCAGAAACUUGUUUUUUGUUCCAUCAUUACUCGGGAAUCACGUACUACAUACGUGCUUACGUAUAUAUUUUGUUUAUGUAUACAUUUCGGUAUCGUACGCACAUUAUUUAGAGCAUUUUCUAACGUAAAUCGAAAAUACAAUCAAACCGAUCGAAAAUUACAAAUAAGCAUAGAAAGUUAACUUCAUAAAAUCGCAUCGAUUAAGAUGGGUCCGUGUGGAUGAGGAUAGAACCGCACAAAAGGUAUUAAUUGGUAAACUCAAUGGAUAAGACCAAGAUGUAGAGAAGAGAAUAUUAGAAUGGAUCUUAACGAAAUAACGGGGUAGUGAAUGGAGGAAUCUUGCCCGGAAAUGGGAACAGCGACGGUAUUUGAAUAUAUUUUUAUCAAUUGUUACAAAGUACGUGAAUACAAAGAGAUAAGUAACUGGACACAAGGAAUCAUAGGUCGAUAGAAUGAAAUAAAAAAAGGUCUGACAGAUAAAUAGGUUAGAAAACGAACAAUUAAAAUAAUUAUUAUUAUAGUCAUUAAACGAUUUUUAUUUGAAUUAAACUAUUUCUAUAACUUUCAAUUGAUUUAAUUCAUCAUGGAAUUCAUUGAAAUAUUAACUAUUAUUACAGCAAUACUAAUAGAAUUAUUCUACAGAAUAUUAUAACACAAUUUAAAUAAAUUAUAUAUGUAUAAUAAGAUCAAAGGAAUCCUGGAUCCAAAAGCAUAUCCAAUUAUUGGAAAUAUUCAUUAAUUAAUUAUUUUUGAUGUAAUAAAAAGUACAAUUGACCGAGUAUUGAGAAGUUGGAAAGUUCAGCUAAAAAUAAUUAUUAUAUACGCAACGGUAUUCUACUUUUCAUCUUCUUUUAUACUGAUAAAAUUUAUGUUAUAAAAACAAAAACCGAAGACACUUUUAAACAUUUUAUUCGAAUCAUCGCACGAAGGAGAAAAAUAUUCGGAGCAAGAUACCCGAGAUGAAAUUAAUACAAUAGUUAUAGCUGUAAGUCGCAUUUAUUAUUUAAGUGUAAUAAAAUUUUGUUUGUUAAAUACAAUUG